UAUGUUGUGAUUGCAGAGUCAGUGGACCCUGAAGGCCAGUCAUGAAGCUGUGAUGGCCAAGAUGGACGAGCUCACGGGCCAUCUGAAAGACGAGCGACUGAGAAGUCUUGGCCUGGAGAGCCAACUACAAGGCCAACUCAUUCUCACAGAGGAGGACAGAGGAGCAAAUCCAUGACCUGGAGAAGGAGAGAGAGCUGCUAAAGGAGAACUGUGAUAAACUAAUGAACAGAAAUUCGGGACGUGAGAGCAGCAGCUGAAACUACAGAUAGCCCAGCUAGAGGUGGCACUGAAGUCUGACCUGACAGACCAAAACGAGAUUCUGGACAAGAUCACGGUUGAAAGAGGUAUCUGUUGAAAGAGGUAUCUGUCAACCAGGACCUUUGUGUCUUUAAAAUUGUUUCGUGUGAAUUCAGAUUUACAAACAUUUUUUAUUUUAUUAGGAGUCAAGAAAAUAAAGAGAUUCAGCUUUGGUUUCUGGAGCAAAAGCAGCAGUUGGAUGAAAUAAAGGAUCAGAUGAAGUUCUACACCAAGGUUCUCACUCCAAAUAAGAAUGAAUGAAUGUUUUUUGUGUGCAGAUAUGUACACCAUGUCAUUACUCUGCUGUGCAUACAUCUUGCUAGCUGUCACUCAUAUGGCGAGGGGCUGAAGCUCAUUGGUUGAACUCAAAUUGCUAGGGGGCUGACCCAGGUGGGGGAAAAUGUAUGGAAAAUGGCGCAGCAGAGCUUCCAGAAAAACAGUUGCUUUCAAACUACACAUUGAUACAUCCAGCCUAAAGCUGGAGGUUCAAUAAAUACAUAGUAGUCGCAAAAGGUUUUUUUUAGGAACAGUGGAUUAACUGCCUUGUUCAGGGGCAGAACGAGAGAUUUUUUACCUUGUCAGCUCAAUCUUGCAACCUUUUGGUUACUAGACCAAUGCUCUAACCACUAGGCUACCUGCCACCCCAUUUAUCUGCUGCCCCUUUAACCAACAUGUUUAUAGAUGUGUCAUAAGGUUUUUUCUCUUCCAAGAGAGUGAGAUCGAUGUGGCUGAACUCAGUGAGGCAAUGAUGCUAGUGAAGGUAUUUGGUCAUUUAACCUGUCUCUCUUCUCUAUCCAAAUCAUACUAUAAGGUCCACUUUCACCAUAUGCUGAAUCACGUUAUUCUACCACUCCCAUCCACAGGGGGACACUGUGCAUUACUGUUGGCACUGAAGUGAACCCCUUCAUCCCUCCGUCAGGUGCGUAAGUCCCAGAGGAGUGGUGAGCUGGGCUUCCUGGAACCGGUGGAGGAGGUGCGUGGAAUUCCAGCAAAUUAGUUAUACAACUUUAAAAUUGUCUCUCCGCCUCAUGG